rnacentral:rRNA from 1 species
AUUGCACAAUGGGCGCAAGCCUGAUGCAGCCAUGCCGCGUGUAUGAAGAAGGCCUUCGGGUUGUAAAGUACUUUCAGCAGUGAGGAAGGUGGGGUAUGUUAAUAGCAUAUUCAUUUGACGUUAGCUGCAGAAGAAGCACCGGCUAACUCCGUGCCAGCAGCCGCGGUAAUACGGAGGGUGCGAGCGUUAAUCGGAAUUACUGGGCGUAAAGCGCAUGCAGGUGGUUUGUUAAGUCAGAUGUGAAAGCCCCGGGGCUCAACCUCGGAAUUGCAUUUGAAAACUGGCAAACUAGAGUACUGUAGAGGGGGGUAGAAUUUCAGGUGUAGCGGUGAAAAUGCGUAGAGAUCUGAAGGAAUACCGGUGGCGAAGGCGGCCCCCUGGACAGAUACUGACACUCAGAUGCGAAAGCGUGGGGAGCAAAACAGGAUUAGAUACCCCUGGUAG